GAUGAACGCUGGCGGCGUGCUUAACACAUGCAAGUCGAACGAAGCGGUUGAGAGGAAGUUUUCGGAUGAAAUUUCAAUUGACUGAGUGGCGGACGGGUGAGUAACGCGUGGGUAACCUGCCUCAUACAGGGGGAUAACAGUUAGAAAUGACUGCUAAUACCGCAUAAGCGCACGAGAUCGCAUGAUAAAGUGUGAAAAACUCCGGUGGUAUGAGAUGGACCCGCGUCUGAUUAGCUGGUUGGUGGGGUAACGGCCCACCAAGGCGACGAUCAGUAGCCGACCUGAGAGGGUGACCGGCCACAUUGGGACUGAGACACGGCCCAA
rnacentral:rRNA from 1 species